rnacentral:misc_RNA from 1 species
AGUAAAUGGAAGUGAUAUUCGCCCAUGGUGGAUAUACCAUCACUAUUGUGCAAUGUUGAUGGCUUUAGUGAGUCUUACUUGGGAGAUUAAAGGACAACCUGAUUGUGCCUACAAGCAGAGAGGGGUACAACUGUUUUUGGCAUGGGCAAUGAUGCAAGGUGUCGCGAUGCUUCUACAAAACAGAUAUCAACGCCAAAGACUGUAUACUCG